AUUUUGAUAAUUAAACCGUAGACAGCGGGUGCGAAAGCUUAAUUUCCCGCCGAGGUACAAUAUAAAAUAUUGACCUUGCACGUUUGCGGAAUAUAUGAGAAAAGCACAAGCGGGCAAGGUUUUUUUAU
rnacentral:sRNA from 1 species